AAGUCGUAACAAGGUUUCCGUAGGUGAACCUGCGGAAGGAUCAUUACUAAAAUUCCAAAUAUGGAGAAAAAAAAAUCCAUAUAAACCCCUUUUGUGCAUUUAUUUGACAGACUUCCCCACUAAAAAUUUUAUUUUACGGUGGGGAAUUUUGAACUAUAAACCACUUAUUAAUAAUUAUUUUGCCUGAAGUCAUUUUUUAUUUAUUAUGUUAUUAUUUACUAAUUACUAAUAAAUAAAUAUCUCUAAAGAGAAAUAAAUAUAAAAUAACUUUUAACAACGGAUCUCUUGGCUCUC
rnacentral:misc_RNA from 1 species